rnacentral:piRNA from 1 species
UUAGUGUUCAUUAUAUACAAAAUUCGAGGU